rnacentral:rRNA from 1 species
UACGAAGGGGGCUAGCGUUGCUCGGAAUUACUGGGCGUAAAGCGCACGUAGGCGGCUCUUUAAGUCGGAGGUGAAAUCCUGGGGCUCAACUCCAGAACUGCCUUCGAUACUGUAGAGCUUGAGUUCGGGAGAGGUGAGUGGAACUGCGAGUGUAGAGGUGAAAUUCGUAGAUAUUCGCAAGAACACCAGUGGCGAAGGCGGCUCACUGGCCCGAUACUGACGCUGAGGUGCGAAAGCGUGGGGAGCAAACAGG